rnacentral:piRNA from 1 species
UAAGAAAGACUAUUUCAAACAAGCAGC